AUUGAGCGCUGGCGGCAUGCCUUACACAUGCAAGUCGAACGGUAACAGGUCUUCGGAUGCUGACGAGUGGCGAACGGGUGAGUAAUACAUCGGAACGUGCCUAGUAGUGGGGGAUAACUACUCGAAAGAGUGGCUAAUACCGCAUGAGAUCUACGGAUGAAAGCAGGGGAUCGCAAGACCUUGUGCUACUAGAGCGGCCGAUGGCAGAUUAGGUAGUUGGUGGGAUAAAAGCUUACCAAGCCGACGAUCUGUAGCUGGUCUGAGAGGACGAUCAGCCACACUGGGACUGAGACACGGCCCAGACUCCUACGGGAGGCAGCAGUGGGGAAUUUUGGAAAAUGGGCGCAAGCCUGAUCCAGCAAUGCCGCGUGCAGGAUGAAGGCCUUCGGGUUGUAAACUGCUUUUGUACGGAACGAAAAGCCCCGGGUUAAUACCCUGGGGUCAUGACGGUACCGUAAGAAUAAGCACCGGCUAACUACGUGCCAGCCGCCGCGGUAA
rnacentral:rRNA from 1 species